GAUGAACGCUGGCGGCGUGCCUAAUACAUGCAAGUCGAGCGAACAGACGAGGAGCUUGCUCCUCUGACGUUAGCGGCGGACGGGUGAGUAACACGUGGAUAACCUACCUAUAAGACUGGGAUAACUUCGGGAAACCGGAGCUAAUACCGGAUAAUAUAUUGAACCGCAUGGUUCAAUAGUGAAAGACGGUUUUGCUGUCACUUAUAGAUGGAUCCGCGCCGCAUUAGCUAGUUGGUAAGGUAACGGCUUACCAAGGCAACGAUGCGUAGCCGACCUGAGAGGGUGAUCGGCCACACUGGAACUGAGACACGGUCCAGACUCCUACGGGAGGCAGCAGUAGGGAAUCUUCCGCAAUGGGCGAAAGCUUGACGGAGCAACGCCGCGUGAGUGAUGAAGGUCUUCGGAUCGUAAAACUCUGUUAUUAGGGAAGAACAAAUGUGCAAGUAACUAUGCACGUCAUGACGGUACCUAAUCAGAAAGCCACGGCUAACUACGUG
rnacentral:rRNA from 1 species